GGAUUAGAUACCCUGGUAGUCCACGCCGUAAACGAUGUCUACUAGUUGUUGGGAGACUUGAUCUCUUAGUAACGAAGCUAACGCGAUAAGUAGACCGCCUGGGGAGUACGGCCGCAAGGUUAAAACUCAAAUGAAUUGACGGGGGCCCGCACAAGCGGUGGAGCAUGUGGUUUAAUUCGACGCAACGCGAAGAACCUUACCUGGCCUUGACAUGCAGAGAACUUUCCAGAGAUGGAUUGGUGCCUUCGGGAACUCUGACACAGGUGCUGCAUGGCCGUCGUCAGCUCGUGCUG
rnacentral:rRNA from 1 species